CAAACCUUCCAUCCCCAUCCCAAACCUUCCAUCCCCAUCCCAAACCUUCCAUCCCCAUCCCAAACCUUCCAUCCCCAUCCCAAACCUUCCAUCCCCAUCCCAAACCUUCCAUCCCCAUCCUCCCAGGAUCCCCAGCCCAGCCUCCUCCCACCCACCGGUGGCUCCAGGCUGGUUGUUCACACAGUUUAUUUGCUCAGUUUGGGUGUUUUACAAACAACGGGGUGGGGAGGGAUGGGAAGGGGAGGGGAAGGGAAAGGAAUUCAAACGGCUUCGGCACAAGUGAAAAGCUCAGGGGCACGGGAAGUGCACUUCAGCAGAGCCGGGCAGGGGACAGAGGGGCUGUGGGGCGGGGUGGGGACGAUGCCGGGCCCACCCCCCACUCCUCUCACACCCCAGCCCCAGCCCCCCCCCCCCCCCCCCCCCCCCCACUCCUCUCACACCCCAGCCCCAGCCCGGGGGUCUGCUCCUGCUCCCCACCGCCCCAGGGGCCGGGUUGGGCUCAGGGUCAAAGCCAACCGAGGGGCAGGGGGUGCCGAGGGCAGGAGGGAGCCCCAGCUUGGGGCUGGGGGAUUGCAGGGCCCAGGGUGGGAUGGGGUGGGUGGUGUUGGCCCCUGAUGUGGGCUGGCAAUAGGUGACAUUCCCCCCAGGACUAUGGGGGCAGAUGCCCCGUGGCACCCAGCCCAUGCCCUGCUCUGCAGCAAUGAGGCUCCAGCGAUGCCCAGCAGUGGAUGGGGUGGGAGAGGCCCUGCAAUGACUCUACUGGGGGGAAAACUGCAGCCUGGGUGGUAACUGGGGGACAACUGGGGUGUCAUGGGGACAGGAGGGUGUCACUGCUCACACAAGGGGAAUGUGGGGGAAGGAAGGCUCAACCUUUGGGGAGAGCUGAGCCCCAUCCCUGGCUGCUCGACCACGGGUGUUGUGGUGGGCUGGGCAGCGUGGAUGCUGCUCCACACAUGCUCUGGGGGAUCCCUGGGGACUUGCCCAGCCUCACGGCAGAUGAAACCCUCUCACACUCAAAAAUCGAUCCCUCGCUAGUGGCUGCACCCUGCCCAAAGCUCCUGGAUGAGUAUCUGAGCACUGCCAGCCUGGGUGCUGCAGCUCAGGGGCAGCUGAUGUGGGCACUGGAGACCAAAAACCAGGGGACCCCCCCCGCCUGCCCCAGCUGGUCUCAGUGGGGAGAAAACGCUGGUGCUGGUGG
rnacentral:lncRNA from 1 species